GAUGAUGUUGUUGUUGAUGUUGUGGUUGAUAUAUUUGUUGUUGUUGUAUUGGCUGUUGAUAGGGUAUAGGCACCACGGCGGCGACUUGACCAUAUGAAGCUUGUUGCUUCCCUUUAUAGUUUCUGGAUAUGGUGUUUGUUUCACCUUCUCUUUUAUUUGGGAAGCCUCCAGAAUACUUCUUCGGUGCUAGGUGUUGUCACUGCUCCUGGAAUCUUUCCAUCCCUCAACCCCUUCUCUA
rnacentral:lncRNA from 1 species